rnacentral:misc_RNA from 1 species
GUGAAUCAUCGAAUUUUUGAACGCAAAUUGCACUCUCUUCGGAGAGUAUGCCUGUUUGAGUGUCAGCCUAAAAAAAAAUCGUCAUAGUCGCUUUUUCGCUGUGACAUUCUUCGGAAAUUGGGGCAGCUUAAACCUUUGAGUUUUAAGCGGCUUAAAAUUUUCUUUACGGUUCCACGAACGUUUCUAAGAUUUACUUCUUAUACUUUGAAGGUAUCGAUCUUUAUUAGACGUUGCCGUUGCGUCGAGGC